CUAAUGUGUCAGAGUUAAUGUAUUAAAUUUAAGAUUUAAGUAUGAAAAAGUUUUAUUCCUUUAGUA
rnacentral:tRNA from 1 species